rnacentral:misc_RNA from 1 species
GAUGAAGAACGCAGCGAAAUGCGAUAAGUAAUGCGAAUUGCAGAAUUCAGUGAAUCAUCGAAUCUUUGAACGCACAUUGCGCCCUUUGGUAUUCCAAAGGGCAUGCCUGUUCGAGCGUCAUUUGUACCCUCAAGCUUUGCUUGGUGUUGGGCGUCUUGUCUCUAGCUUUGCUGGAGACUCGCCUUAAAGUAAUUGGCAGCCGGCCUACUGGUUUCGGAGCGCAGCACAAGUCGCACUCUCUAUCAGCAAAGGUCUAGCAUCCAUUAAGCCUUUUUUUCAACUUUUGACCUCGGAUCAGGUAGGGAUACCCGCUGAACUUAAGCAUAUCAAUAAGCGGAGGA